GAUGAACGCUGGCGGCGUGCUUAACACAUGCAAGUCGAACGGAAAGGCUCCUGCUUGCAGGGGUACUCGAGUGGCGAACGGGUGAGUAACACGUGGGUGAUCUGCCCAGCACUUCGGGAUAAGCCUGGGAAACUGGGUCUAAUACCGGAUAGGACGAUGGUUUGGAUGCCAUUGUGGAAAGUUUUUUCGGUGUGGGAUGAGCUCGCGGCCUAUCAGCUUGUUGGUGGGGUAAUGGCCUACCAAGGCGUCGACGGGUAGCCGGCCUGAGAGGGUGUACGGCCACAUGGGGAGGGGGAACGGCCCCAGACUCCUAGGGGGGGCGGGAGGGGGGAAUAGUGAAAAAGGGGGGAAAGCCUGAUGGAGGGGCGGCGGGGGGGGGAGGACGGCCUUGGGGUUGUAAACCCCUUUCGCUGGGGAGGAAGCGAAAGGGAGGGUACCUGGAGAAGAAGAACCGGCAAACUAGG
rnacentral:rRNA from 1 species